GUCGUUUUAAACUAGACUGGCGUUUCCCUUUUCCCUGUGAGAAGAACGAAGAUCAAUUUCGCCGGCGAAAAUUUAGGUUUCCGGCGAUGGAACAACUGAGUGAAGAAGAGAAAAAGGCGCUUCGUGGAAGCAAAUUUGCACCGCUACCUUCUGCACCUUCGUCUUCUCGUCCUCAACCUAGGCUGGCUCAUCCAGGAGGACCUAUGAAGACGAAUAAGGCAGCAGCUUUAGCGAAAUUUCUUGACAGGAAAUUGCAGGACCCUAGCGGCUUGUCAUCUCUUGAUCCUCGUCUCAUUGAACUCGCCGUCAAUAAUGCUAAACAUACUCUUCAAGCCAGUGGGACGCGGCCCUGGAGAAAAAAAAAUAGAACUGCAAGUGAUCUAUUUAGUCUCAUAGUGGCAUAUGCAUUUAACUAAUUACCUACUUCUCCAACAUUCAUACUGUCUUCUCAGGUUGAGCACAUGCUGAAUGAU
rnacentral:misc_RNA from 1 species